UUCACCAGAUCAUUAAAGACAUGACUCUCUACAUAUUCCUUUUCCAGCAAAGUAUAGCAGUAAUACCUAAUAAACAAAUUACUGUUAGGCAAGUUCCAACAUGGACAAGCAGCGUGUUAAUGAAAUAACUUGCAUGGCUGAAAAAAAAAAAUUCUUGGAGGACUCUCUUAAAGGGCUAUUAAGUUUCUCCUGGGGUUUUCUCCACAACGGGAGCCUAGCAGUUACAAACAAGCAACCCUUCAUCUAAGCCAGGGCAGAGCUUUUUGUUGUGGUGAUGCUUUGUUCUGCUUUGUCAGUCCGACCGACAUAACCGAGCUCUGGACUUCGCUCCACCCUUGCCAGAAGUCCCAGAGAACAUACCUGCAGCCACUACAGCUCCUCCAGUUUGGCUUCAAUUUGGAGAUGUGCACAGCUGAGUGAGAGAUUUUUGUAAUCACAGAAGGGCAGGGAGGAAGAGAAUGUUACUAUAAGCCAGGCUUGUCUUGGCCAUAGCAAUAAAUUGCUCGUGGCCAAUUUCAGCUAAUGCUGGCCUUUCUGCAUGAAAUUAUCGCAUUUCUUUGAAUCUCCAGACUAAAACCGAAGUGUCCCUCUCUGAGCUGGCUGCCAAAGGGCCUUUAGGACAACAGCUUUGACCAAGCUGUUGCCAGAGGCAUGUACCCCCUUGGAGUCCUCUGUGAGUUUAUGAAUACACCCGGUGCCAGGGCUGCUCAGCAGUGACUCAGCAGCAGGAAAUCUGAUGUAGAUCCUCCUCAUCGCACGCCCAGGGUGCAGCUGCUCUCCGCUUCCUAGCAGUAACAGGGGCACCGCAAAUGGCUUCUGUUAAAGAUAACAUUCCCUUCCUACUGCAACCCCUGUGCCCACAGUCUACUGCUGUGAAUGUGAAUGAACCUUUGUACAGGUUCUCUUCGCUCCUUCCCCUCCUCUCAACAAACGUAAUGCGAGAUUUUGGAGAAGCAUAGACCCACUUACAAAACCUAAGAAAAGCACCUCAAGUGGGGGUGUGCAGAUGUUUAUUUGAGUGCUCCUUCUCUUUUAUUUCCCUUGAAAGAUGUUGUCAGGCCCCACCUCACCCGUGCUGGAAGUUGCAAGGAGCUGAGGAGGAUCGCUUUGGGGCUGGCUGGGGCUCGGUGCAGACUGCUAUGAGCCAUUGCUGCUCUAAACUUGGCUCUUCCUGCUCUCAAGCCACUUAUGUCACUCUGGUGGAAUAAAGGCUCUAUCUAAAGCUGACAGCAGAGAUGAUUUUUCAACAUGAUAGGAAGUCUGUGAUACCAUUUGACGGUAUUUAUGUUCUCUCCAGAUGACCUGUUUUCAGAAGAAUCUCUUCAAAUGACUUGCCAACAUUAACAGUCCCUAUACUGCAAAUUGCUUAUUAUUAAUAUUACUUAAUUUUAGAGCAUGUAUCACAAAAUAAUUAAAACGUAAUAUUUACAAAGAAGAUUGGUUAAUACUGCUUCUACUGCUAUGUCUGGAAGUACUACUUUUGAAUGUCAGAAAAUUUACAGCGAAAGCCU